UGGGGUAUAGCUCAGGGAUAGAGCAUGUGCUUAGCAUGCAUGAGGCCCUGGUUUUGACUCCCAGUGCCACAA
rnacentral:tRNA from 1 species